GACGAACGCUGGCGGCGUGCCUAAUACAUGCAAGUCGAGCGAAUCAGUGGGAGCUUGCUCCCUGAGAUUAGCGGCGGACGGGUGAGUAACACGUGGGUAACCUGCCUGUAAGACUGGGAUAACUUCGGGAAACCGGAGCUAAUACCGGAUACGUUCUUUUCUCGCAUGAGGAGAGAUGGAAAGAUGGUUCUGCUAUCACUUACAGAUGGACCCGCGGCGCAUUAGCUAGUUGGUGAGGUAACGGCUCACCAAGGCGACGAUGCGUAGCCGACCUGAGAGGGGGGUCGGCCACACUGGGACUGAGACACGGCCCAGACUCCUACGGGAGGCAGCAGUAGGGAAUCGUCCGCAAUGGACGAAAGUCUGACGGAGCAACGCCGCGUGAGCGAAGAAGGCCUUCGGGUCGUAAAGCUCUGUUGUUAGGGAAGAACAAGUACGAGAGUAACUGCUCGUACCUUGACGGUACCUAACCAGAAAGCCACGGCUAACUACGUGCCAGCCGCCGCAGUAA
rnacentral:rRNA from 1 species